rnacentral:rRNA from 1 species
CCCUUAGAUGUUCUGGGUCGCACGCGCGCUACACUGAUGCAUUCAACGAGUGUACCUUGGCCGAGAGGCCUGGGCAAUCUUUUGAACGUGCAUCGUGAUAGGGAUAGAUUAUUGCAAUUAUUAAUCUUGAACGAGGAAUUCCUAGUAAACGCAGAUCAUCAAUCUGCAUUGAUUACGUCCCUGCCCUUUGUACACACCGCCCGUCGCACCUACCGAUUGGAUGGUCCGGUGAAGCCUCGGGAUUGUGGCGGUUGCCUUUAUUGGUGGCCGCCGCGAGAACUUGUCUAAACCUUAUCAUCUAGAGGAAGGUGAAGUCGUAACA